rnacentral:tRNA from 1 species
AUAUUUUAGGACAAAAAUGCCUUCCUAAUAUCUUCAGUAUUAUGCUUUAAUAUAAGCUAUUAAAAUA